CAACAGGCAAUGAAGAGAAGAGUACAGAAGCAGGAAUGGCCCAGAGAGUCUCCACAUGGUGGGAGGAGAUGCAAGACAGCUUCUGGAAGAUGGCCUCUGAGCCGGCAGGUCGAAUAGUGAGACCGCCCGGGUGCACCCGUUACUGUGCUGGAGUAUUGAGGGCCUGUGGCCUGCGUACUCGAGAAGGCCGGCUUUGUGAAGAGCCGGUGAAAUUGGGUGGUAACACGGUACUUCCGUCCCUUUG
rnacentral:ncRNA from 1 species